UUAUAAUGCAGUAGAUCUAGUAUUUGAAACGUCCUCUCUGGAGCAUGCUUGAAGAGGACACUUGACUCUGGAACUUGCUAUAUGUGGUCCCAAUUGUUUCCUGUUUCACGGCCAUUUUCAGCUGACCAAACAUAACUGAGGGUUAUUGUGACCAGCAGCAGUGUGACAAGGAGAAAUUUCAAAAAGAAAAUGAGACAUUUUUGAGAAGAAAAUGUGAGCUGAUGGAAACCUGAAUAAAAGGCAACCAUAAGUUUUUCCCCGGAAGAAA
rnacentral:lncRNA from 1 species